AGUCUCAUUAUACCAACCUGUGUGUGUGUGUGUGUGUGUGUGUCUGUGUGUGUGUGUGUGUCUGUGUGUGUCUGUGUGUGUCUGUGUGUGUGUGUCUGUGUGUGUGUGAGUAUCUGUGUGUCUGUGUGUGUCUGUGUGUGUGAGUAUCUGUGUGUGUGUGUGUGUCUGUGUGUGUGUGUGUCUGUGUGUGUGUGUUUCUGUGUGUGUCUGUGUGUGUGUGUGUCUGUGUGUGUGUCUGUGUGUGUCUGUGUGUGUGUGUGUGUCUCUGUGUGUGUGUGUGUCUGUGUGUGUGUCUGUCUGUGUGUGUCUGUCUGUGUGUGUGUGUGUGUCUGUGUGUGUAUGUGUGUGUGUGUGUCUGUGUGUGUGUGUGUGUCUGUGUGUGUGUCUGUGUGUGUGUGUGUGUGUGUGUGUGAGGAGGCUGAUCCAACAUGUGGUUCUUUGACAGAAGGAUUGAUUGAACUCUCCACUUCUCCUGCUCUGCUUUGUGUGCAGCAGCAGAAACAGGGUUUUUAAUGGACAGCAGCAGCAGCAGGAACACUCGGCCUCACAGCAGCAGAGCCUAAAGUGUGAUGAUGGAACCCUAACCCUAACCCUAACCCUCUUUAGACCGUUGAACAGUAACAUAAGUAUUACUGAACUAAACACAUCAUCUACUCCAUUCUUUAAACUGUUGGAAACGUCCAAUACAUGUGGAAUAAAUCAGGUUUUAUAAAAAGGUUUCUGCGAGAACAUUUAAGAGUGUUUGUGAGCUCCUUAAAGCCACCAGUUCCUCAGCAGGACUUCUGCACUACGAUGAGCUUUAAAUGGUAAAAUCUGUGACCCAGAUAAACGUUACCGCAGAACUACUACUUCCACUUGACGACACAUAAUAGCUUUGUAUACAAAAUAUCUAUUAACACCGUCAACAGAACCUAAACCAACGACAGCACGCUCACACGUUACACCGAGUACCGUCUGUAACAUUUACUCUUAUUAACGCGUUCACUGCAGAUGUGACUGGUGCAUCAUUCACGCCACUGUAAGUCACUUCGGAUGAAAGCGUUGAUACGACGUCAUUCAUUUGUGAUCGGAGAAUCUCCACCCGUUUCUGUGUGAACGCGCGUUUAAGCCCGAACCUCGGCGGAGACGAACGUCGGGUCACACGACAUCUCUUCAGCGCGAGCUAAACGUGAACUCAGGAGUACAUUCGUUAUACGUGUGGUUUCCUGCAGACCUGCGACAAACUGCACGCACAUCGGCUGGUUGUGGAGUGAAUGAAUUAGUGAUCGGCGGCUCGAUCGGAGAGCUUUGCUGCUUUAAAGAGAGGAGGGAUAUUGACCUUGAUAUAAAACCUCGAUGGGGGUGAUCGGCUACAUUGGACCGCGCUGCUCUGGAAAAAAUAAAUAUCACAAUAAAGUAUUUUCAUAGUCAACAUAUCUAACGUUUCUCUUUAUGUACAAUUAUCAGACAGUAUCUGAAUUGGUCCUGAUGUAGCGAACACCUCCCACCUGCCGUGUGAAGCCUCUUCAACACAAGGUCUGCUGUCAUCAAACUCCUGUCUGUGCUUCACCAACCAAAUCUGAGCUGCGAGGGCGGAACAGCAGCUCCAAAACAAUGUUCCUGUAGAGAUGAAGUUAAUCACCAGCGUGUGGAGCAGCACCCUAACCGGGUCAGCUGUGGGGAGGAUCCUUUGCUAAUUAAACUGAUUUCUAAACGGCCUCAUUGGGCAGAUAAUGUGUUUCUGAUGGGAGCAGUAGAAACCCCCCCCCCCCCCCCCAUUUUAAUCAAAACAAGCUUCACUGCUGCAGAAGACGAUGAGUCUGAGUCUCUGGAAGUCUUAGGAGAGAUUCUGGUGGUCUGUCCGACCCCUCAGAGGAAGACAGGAAUCUAACAAUACUUUAAAUCAAGAAUAUCUUUACAGGAAGUGUUGCUCAUAAAGUGGAAGUUAUCUCUGAGUCAAUUCUCUAAAUAAUUCUAUUAGAGAAUAACUUUCUAUUAGAGAAUAACUUUCUAUUAGAGAAUAACUUUCUAUUAGAGAAUAACUUUCUAUAACUUUCUAUUAGAGAAGAGAAUAACUU
ensembl:lncRNA